GCCCCCGGAGGGUCCCCAGGGGUGGAGCAGGAGCUCGGGCCCGGAUGGAGUUGGGGACGGGCACAGUGGCUGCUGGGGAGAUGCCUGGGGCCUGGACGGACAUGCCCGGCUCGCCGGGUCUCCCUGCUCCUAGCAAACAUCUCACUGAACUCUUGCAACAAUCCCUGAGAGGAGCCAACAGGUACCCCCUUCCCUUGAGGAGACGCCAGAAUGAGGAGGUCAAGGCCCAAGGUCAUGCCAUCCGGGGGCGAGCACCCAGUCUGAACCCAGUGGAAGCCUCGCUGGCUUCCAGCCCGCGUCCUGCCCACGAGGUUACUCCCUCACCCCUUCUGCCUGGAAACGACUGGAAGAGGAGAGGGGAGGGUCCCCUGAGACCCCAGGAUGCUUAACAGAAGGUCCGCAGGCCGCACUCUCAGCAGCCCGGGAAGCCUGGCUCACCGACUGAGGGUUUUCAUCUGCCGGGCCUAGCGAAUUCUACAGUCCUUCAGGAGAGAAAGCCGCCCUCGGCGUGCAUUAGGGCAGGACAGCGAGGACAAAACAGUAGCCACGGUAAUUCCCAACCGGCCGGGAGCCCUCAGCACGCUGCGAUAAGGGUCAUUUCCCCCCAUUGGCACAGCAGAGAUGCGGGGGGGCGGGGGGGCCUGCGGCCAGAACCCAGGGCCCCUCCUGGCGUACCUGUGCCCCGCCCGCUGGCACCCCAGAGCCCUCACCUGCACACGUACACCUCCUCAGGGGGCUGAGUGUUGGGGGUCAUGAUCCAGGGGGCCACACGGAAGACCACACUGUCUUGGAAAACCAGGGUCUUGGGGAGCUCCUGCGAGGUGUGGGUGGGGGAAGGGCUAUUGCAGCAGCCAGUGCCUCCUUCCUCCCAGAGGCUGUGUGAGCCUCCUCCCCGGCUGGGCUCCGCACCCCCACCCCCCGCCUGGUGACUCAGCUUCCCCCUUGGGCUGCCAUCUUGGCCUACCGGGUUGGAUGUGUCCAGUAGGGAGACGGCGAGGGAAAUGAGCCCCGGGAAGUUGGCGUCUGGGAAAGCGAGGCCCUCCACAUAGAAGUCUGUGCUGUGCUGGCCCCCCGGGAGUUCCAGGGGGUGACAGGGCUGCUUUGGCCCCAGGACCUCCCUGUACCUGGAGAUCUGAUUGCCUCCUAGAAGAGAGAAGGGAGGCCCGGGUCUGCUUCUCCCCGGUGCUGCGAUGCCUUCUCGGGGCCACCGCUGCCAUGAAGACAUGUCACAGCCACUCAGAGAAAGCAACCUAAAGUGUCAGCUGGGACAUCGCCCCCUGGCUGGGGCUCCAGGGAUGGAGUGACCGGGGCGGGGGUCCCUGAGCCAUUCCCGAACAUAUACAUACAGGUCCACUAUACAUUAUGGUUCGUUCAUUCAUUCAUUCAUUCAUUCGUUCAUUCAUUCCUGAGCCCCAGCUCUCGGCUGACACUGGGGGAGACCAGGGAGGUGGUCACAGUCUCCGGGGUGAGUGAGGAGGAGCAGAGACGGUCAAAAUCACAGAUGGUAGUAAGUGCUGUGACGGGGGGGGGGGGGAACCCAGAGGGCCAGGGAAGGCUUCCUGGAGGAGGUGACGCCUCAGCAGAGGCAAAGAAUUGGUUUGUCACCAAGUCAACGUCAGUCUGAUCACCUUGAUCUAGAAUGGAAGCAAGUCAGAUCAGGCUGUGCCUCUGCCGAGAGCCCUCAGAUGGCCUCGGCCGCCUCCCUCAGACUAGAAGGCAGAGUCAUUCCCCGCCUGCCUGAGCCGGCCCUUCCCCUUCCUUCUCCACCCUCCUCUGCCACGUUAACCCCGAGUCCUGCACUCCAGCCUCACCGGCCUCCCUGCCUUCCUCAAGCCCACAGGCACCAUCCGGCCUCACCCGGGGCCUUUGCUGCUGCGGUUGCCUCUGCCUGGAGUGCCCUUCCCCUGAGUGUCUGUGUGGCUGUUCCCGCCCCUGCUGCUCGAGUGACACCUUACGGAGGAACCGUUCCCUAACCUCCACUCCUCACACCCCCAGACCCUACCCCUCAUCUACACCCCCUUCCUGGUGGCGUUCUUCUGCACAGCCCUCAGACACUAGCCGCUUCACUUACUUAUUUUAUACGUUGUCUCUCAACCCACCAAGAGGAAAGCGACCUGGGGGCAGAGGCGUUUUUAUGUGCUUUGCUCCAGGCCCCAUGCCUCAAACAAGCCCGGCGCUCAGGAGCAGGUGCGAGCUGCUGCGAAGCUAAUGCUGUCUUUGGUCAGGAGGAUGCUGGAGGACAAAGUUUGAUGCCGUCAGCUUGGGCUCGACAGUCCCCGUAAACCAGAGUCCUCUGUGUGCGUGCGUGUGUGCACGCGUGUGUGCA